GCUUUCUGACUCUGAACUUACUGGUAGCUGCUAAUAGCAGGAUCACAAACUGAUGCUCUGGGUGUCUGGAAUCUCCAUCAGGUCUUCCAGGGGAUUCUUCAGACACUGGUUGCAGGGAAGGAAGGCGGCCUCACACCCCUCCCCAUCUCUAGCCUUCAGUAGCCCCAGUGCUAAGGUGUCAGCAAAUCCCUGUUAACUAAAGAUCCUGCUUCUGCCCAUCUGAGAGGAGAACCCACUUUGAAAACUCCUCAGGAAAUGGAGUUCACUCAGCAUGUCACACUCAUGCUCCUGGGGAAGGCAUGGAAAUGAUUCUCAUCCUUGUUCGUUGCUGAAGCCUGGAAGUUCCAAUUGUCUCACUUAACAGUGAUGGACCCCAUCCCCUCACAGCAAUCAGACCAGCAUCGGGAGUGCCAUACACAAUCAAAACCAAAUGUCAAUGGGCUGAGAGGAAGGGGAGGUGACAGCAGCUGGAAGCAAAUGUAGAAGUCCUCCUUGAUACACCUCGAGUGUAAAGGAGGAAACACCAAGUGCGUGCCUCAGAAGAUAUCUUUUCUGGGGAAGUACAGAUCACAGCUAAUGCUGAGGAAGAGUCUCUGAGAAGUGGAAAUUGGAUCUUUGAUGCCAUUUAUUGGGCUGGGCAAAGCAGGGCACAAAGAGAGCACAGGGACAGGGCCAAAGGGCCAUAGUACACAUAAAUACCUUGGGCUGUGAACACUCACUACAGAGAGGGUGAGGCAGGAGGCAGAGUCCCCUUGUGUCUGUGGAUUCUUUAAAUAUAGGUAGCCUGGCCACAGGAGCCUUUACUAGGUAUGUGGAGAGCAGAAAAGUCAGUAGAGGUAUUUGAAGAGUCUGGAGACCAUUGCUUCAAAUGUAUUUCCCUUACAGUGAUAGUAAGUAGCUAGGAAGGAGGAAGUAAAGAGACUUGUCUGUUUUCAGUUACAGAUCGUCCAAUAGAGGCUAGGCAUGCUAGCAAACACCUUUAAUCCUAGCACUCUGGAGUGAAAUUAAGACCAGCCUGGUCUUUAUAGAUCAGGCUAGCUGAGGCUACAUAGAGAAACCCUGUCUUGAAAAACAACAAAACAGCAGAAAAACAAAAACACAGCACCAGUG
rnacentral:lncRNA from 1 species